UUGGUGCUGCUUAUUUCGGCCAAACAGGCGGUUGUGGUACAAGAGGGAGUCGCUCCCAUGAGGGAAAGCUUUACAGUCGCACAGGAGCAGGCUGGUGUUGAUGAGGAGAGAGGACAGAUCUAUUAGACACAGCUUUUACACCGUUCAGUCUUUGUUUCUUGAAAGGCCAAAAAUCCAUAAAUGAAACUUAUAGAUAGAUAGAACUGGUUUCAACUACCAAAUUUUUCAGGCCAUAAGGCACACCCGAUUAUAAGGCGCACAAUGAAUUAACGUGUUUAUGUUCACACAUAAGGCGCAUUCAGCAAAACAACACAGACCGGUAAAUCAAACUUUAUUUAACUCAGUUGUAACAACAAAUACCGGUACAGA